UAACAUUAAUUGCAAAACAGCUUCUGCACAGAGUUUUUCCAGCAUGUCUUCGUUUAAACUGUUAAUUAAGCAAAGAUAUAUAACACAGUUUGGCACACACUUCGACAUCGACAUGACGUGCACAUGGACACUGUCUCAUGACCGUCUCUGACAUUGAACUAGGCAUAUAGUUAUAUUUACUCUUAUAUCAUAAUUUUUAGGUUAGUU